rnacentral:rRNA from 1 species
AGAGUUUGAUCCUGGCUCAGGAUGAACGCUAGCGGCAGGCUUAAUACAUGCAAGUCGAGGGGCAGCAUGGUGUAGCAAUACACUGAUGGCGACCGGCGCACGGGUGCGUAACGCGUAUGCAAUCUACCUUCAACAGGCGAAUAACCCGGAGAAAUUCGGACUAAUACGCCGUAGUAUUCUUUUUAGGCAUCUAAAAAUAAUUAAAGAUUUAUCGGUUGAAGAUGAGCAUGCGUUCGAUUAGGUAGUUGGUGGGGUAAUGGCCUACCAAGCCGACGAUCGAUAGGGGUUCUGAGAGGAUGAUCCCCCACACUGGUACUGAGACACGGACCAGACUCCUACGGGAGGCAGCAGUAGGGAAUAUUGGACAAUGGUCGCGAGACUGAUCCAGCCAUGCCGCGUGCAGGAAGACGGCCUUAUGGGUUGUAAACUGCUUUUACACAGGGGUAACAGUAGGUACGUGUACCUAUUUGAAAGUACUGUGAGAAUAAGGAUCGGCUAACUCCGUGCCAGCAGCCGCGGUAAUACGGAGGAUCCAAGCGUUAUCCGGAUUUAUUGGGUUUAAAGGGUGCGCAGGCUGAUGUAUAAGUCAGCGGUGAAAUCUCUCGGCUUAACCGAGGAAUUGCCGUUGAUACUGUAUGUCUAGAGUUUAGACGGCGUAGGCGGAAUAUGUCAAGUAGCGGUGAAAUGCGUAGAUAUGACAUAGAACACCGAUAGGGUAGCCAGCUUACGAGGCUAAUACUGACGCUCAAGCACGAAAGCGUGGGGAUCAAACAGGAUUAGAUACCCUGGUAGUCCACGCAGUAAACGAUGAUCACUCGUUGUCGGCGAUAUAAUGCCGGUGGCCAAGCGAAAGUGAUAAGUGAUCCACCUGGGGAGUACGUUCGCAAGUAUGAAAC